AUCCAUCUGGCGAGUCCCAAAUAGGAUGAAAUGUGUGUUCUGGAU
rfam:Schistosoma curassoni strain Dakar, Senegal genome assembly, scaffold: SCTD_scaffold0001925